UUAAGUGAUCUGCCUGCCUCAGCCUCCCAAAGUGCUGGGAUUACAGGUGUGAGCCACCACGCCCGGCUGCACUAAUUAUUUGUAAUGGUAAAGAGUGUAAGCUUCCCUAGGAGGACUGUCUCCCAGUUCUGCACUAGGGGAUAAAUUGUAAUGGUCAAGGUUCUUUCAGCAGUAAGUGACAGAAAACCAGCUAAAACCAGCUCAAGCGCAAAAGGGAAUGUCAUGCCUCUGGAAGCUGGGAGGUCCAAGGGACUCAAAUAUCAUUGUAAUCCCCAGCUUUUUUUUUUGCUCUGUCACCCAGGCUGGAGUGCAGGGGCGUGGUCUUGGUUCACUGCAGCCUCGAACUCCUGGGCUCAAGUGAUCCUCCUGCCUCAGCCUCUGGAGUAGUUGAGACUACAGGCAUGCGCCACCGCCAGGCUUCCUCCCUCUCUUGGCUCUGCUUCCCUCAGGAAACGUUAUAGCUGCAAAGACCACGUAGCGACAUGAAAAUUGGUUAUAAAGCAAUGCUAAGAGAACAAGGCAGAAGACAGACUUGAAACUAUGAUGGCACAUUUGGAAUAUGAAAAAAUAGAAAACUUUUGCUCUGUAAGGGUGGUAGAAGAAUGAAUUAUUACGUCAAAAACCUUCAGUGUCUUUGCAAAAGUAUUUUAUAAUAAAUAACGUGUGCAUGCACAAA